rnacentral:rRNA from 1 species
UGGUCAAGUUAUUAAGGGUGCAGGGCGGAUGCCUUGGCACUAGGAGCCGAUGAAGGACGUGAUAAGCUGCGAUAAGCUUCGGGGAGUUGCACGUAAACUUUGAUCCGAAGAUUUCCGAAUGAGGAAACUCACUUAGAGUAAUGUCUAAGUAUCAUUAAGUGAAUACAUAGCUUAAUGAGGGGAACUCAGGGAACUGAAACAUCUAAGUACCUGAAGGAAGAGAAAGAAAUUCGAUUCCGUAAGUAGCGGCGAGCGAACGCGGAUUAGCCCAAACCAAUAAAGUUUUCUUUAUUGGGGUUGCGGACAUAUCAUAACGAAGAGGUAUCGUAAUUGAAGAGGUUUGGAAAGA